rnacentral:rRNA from 1 species
AUGAUUAUGGAGUCGAAUGAUGCAACUUUCUUUGAGGACAUAUUUCCUAUGAAGGAUAUGUCGAGUUCAUCAAAUCAGGAGAUACCUACUCCAUCUAGUGAGGAAUUCGCUAUAAUUCCUGAACCCACCAUUGCGAUGGAACACGUUGAGAAUCCCGUUGAGGGUGACAAUGGAACUCCUGUGAGGAGUAAGAGACAGAGGACUGCAAAGUCCUUUGGUGAUGAUUUCAUUGUGUACCUUGUGGAUGACACACCCAGGACUAUUUCAGAAGCCUAUGCAUCUCUUGAUGCUGACUACUGGAAGGAAGCUGUUCGCAGCGAGAUGGAUUCCAUCUUAGCUAACGGAACUUGGGAGAUCACUGACCGUCCUUAUGGGUGCAAACCUGUAGGAUGUAAGUGGGUGUUCAAGAAGAAGAUUAGACCUGAUGGUACGAUUGAAAAGUACAAGGCAUGA